AUUGAACGCUGGCGGCAGGCUUAACACAUGCAAGUCGAGCGAGAGGAGGACGGGUGAGCAAUGUCUGGGAAAGUGCCUGACGGAGGGGGAUAACUGCUGGAAACGGUAGCUAAUAGCGCAUAACACCAGAUGUGCCGAGAUGUGGGUAGCUAGUGGGUGGGGUAAUGGCAGACCUAGGCGACGAUCCCUAGCUGGUCUGAGAGGAAGACCAGCCACACUGGAACUGAGACACGGCCCAGACUCCUACGGGAGGCAGCAGUGGGGAAUAUUGCGCAAUGGGCGCAAGCCUGAUGCAGCCAUGCCGCGUGUGUGAAGAAGGCUUUCGGUUUGUAAAGCACUUUCAGCGGGGAGGCGUUACUCGCAGAAGAAGCACCGGCUAACUCCGUGCCAGCAGCCGCGGUAAUAC
rnacentral:rRNA from 1 species